CGGGAUAUUUGAAAUUGAAAGCUUGUCAAUGUCGCUGGAGGUCACGUUAGACAGCUUUGCUAGCUCCAAGGUGUUAUUUGUCCAAUUAACUGGAACCAGGAUAGCCCAAGCAAGCAUUGCGAUAGGAACAAAAAUCUUAAGCCCUAUCAAGUAAAUGCGCAAAUAAACAGCAGAAUCCAACCCCGCAUGCUCAAUAAGCUCAGGCUCUGGCAUUCUGAUUGCUUCAGGCAUCCAAUUUAGAAAUCUCAGAUACGAUCUAAAGUCUAAAUUGACAAACC
rnacentral:misc_RNA from 1 species